rnacentral:rRNA from 1 species
CGUGUAGGCGGUUAGGUAAGUGGAACGUGAAAUCCCUCGGCUCACCCGAGGACCUGCGUCCCAAACUGCCUAGCUUGAGUAUGGGAGAGGAUGAGGGAAUUCCUGGUGUAGCGGUGAAAUGCGUAGAUAUCAGGAGGAACACCGGUGGCGAAGGCGCUCAUCUGGCCCAAUACUGACGCUGAGGCGCGAAAGCUAGGGAGCAAACG